GUAGGUGAACCUGCGGAAGGAUCAUUACCGAAUUGUCAAACGGGUUGUUGCUGGUCCUCAAACGGGGACAUGUGCACGCUCUGUUUACACAUCCACUCACACCUGUGCACCCUCCGUAGUUCUAUGGUCUGGGGGACCCCGUCUUCCUGCCGUGGUUCUGCGUCUUUACACACACGCUGUAACAAAGUCUUAUGGAAUGUAUGCCGCGUCUAACGCAAUACAAUACAACUUUCAGCAACGGAUCUCUUGG
rnacentral:misc_RNA from 1 species